rnacentral:rRNA from 1 species
AUGAUACGGCCGCCGAAUUUCUGCUCGCCGCGAUGCGACCUUGGCUUCGUGCGGCUGCUGUCUCCGGGCCGGCCGGGAGAAUCUGCUGGAUUGCUUAUCCAGUUCGCUCUGCUGUUGGCCUGUCUGUUCCUGAUUUGCCGCCGCGCCCUACCGACCGAAUUCAGCACCAGAAGACUAGCUAAUGGAAGUUUUUUUUUCCUUAAAAAAAAGUUAGUAGCAGCUAGCCGGGAUGCGUGGGCAGAAUGGCCCGGCCGUGCGGUUGGGACUAUGCACGAGUUUGCCGUGUCGACACUCAAAUCGGAUCGUAAUUGA